AUGCAAGCUCGCGAAGCCUUGGGCGGAGCAGCAGACAGCUCAGUAAUACAGUUAUAAUUUACUCGUGAUCUGAUACGGAUAACCUUGGUAAACUAAGGCUAAUACGUAGGAUAGGACGACUGACUUGAGGAAGCAGCAGUAGUCCUGAGGAUUCUAUCGCGAUUAAGUUUCUGGCCUAUCAGCUUGUUGGUAAGGUAAUGGCUUACAAAGGCUUUGACGGGUAACGGGGAAUCAGUGUUCGAUUCCGGAGAGGGAGCCUGAGAAAUAGCUCCCACGUCCAAGGAUGGCAGCAGGCGCGAAAAUUUCCCAAUUCCUUCACGGGAGAGGUAGUUAAGAGACAUGAAGUUCUACUUAGAGACUGUACAAUAAAUACGUAUAGGAUCGACUGGAGGGCAAGUCUGGUGCCAGCAGCCGCGGUAAUUCCAGCUCCAGUAGCGCAUAUAAUAGUUGCUGCAGUUAAAACGUCCGUAGUUGAUCACAAGGUAUAUUUCAACAUAGCAUUUGUUGGGCUCUGCCUCGGUACUGUGAGAAAAAUAUAGUUCUCAAAGCAGGUUACGUGAGUAAUUCAGCAUGGGACACAGUGAAUAUAGGAACAGAUGAUGGCAAUAGUAUUCAGUAGUUAGAGGUGAAAAUUGAUGACCUGCUGAGGACUGUCGGAAGCGAAGGCGAUUGUCAAGUAUGUCUCCGUUAAUAAAGGACUUAAGCUAGAGGAUCGAAGAUGAUUAGAUACCGUCGUAGUUCUAGCUGUAAACGAUGCCGACUAGGUGAGGCCACACGGCUGCGCCUUAGGAGAAAUCAAAGUCUAUGGGCUCUGGGGAUAGUAUUUGCGCAAGCUUGAAACUUAAAGAAAUUGACGGAAGGACACCACAAGGAGUGGAUUGUGCGGCUUAAUUUGACUCAACGCGGGACAACUUACCAGGGCCGAACUUGUUUGAGAUUGGCGGUUUGAGAGAACCCCCGAGAUUAUAAGAAAGGUGGUGCAUGGCCGUUUUCAACACGUGGGGUGACCUGUCUGGUUAAUUCCGUUAACGCGUGAGGCCCUGUAGGCAACGAUGUUGCCUGACGGAUGGCGGCAAGCCAUAGGAAGUGGGGCCAUAACAGGUCAGUGAUGCCCCUAGAUGUUCUGGGCUGCACGCGCAAUACAAUGGCACGGUGAGACUAUGCACUGAGAAGUGUGCUCUAAUCCGUGCCGAAGCUGGGAUAAGCUCUUGUAAAUGAGCUUUGAACGAGGAAUUCCUAGUAAUCGCAAGUCAUUAUGUUGCGAUGAAUGCGUCCCUGUUCUUUGUACACACCGCCCGUCACUAUCUCAGAUGGAUGUAUUGAUGAAAUGGCUGGACGCAAGUAAGGCAGUUGAAUCAGUGCAACUAGAUAAGAUAUAAGUCGUAACAAGGCUGCUAUAAGUGAACUUGUGGCAG
rnacentral:rRNA from 1 species